rnacentral:rRNA from 1 species
AGCUAAAGAUCUAGCCCUAUUUUAACGAAUAGUAUAUAAACUAAAAUCCACAAAUAAAAACAUUUUUCUUCCUUUAGUAAAGGUGAUUGAAAAACUGAUUAGAGCAAUAACAAUAGUACCGCAAGGAAAAGAUGAAAUAAAUAUGAAAUAGAAUUCAAGCACAAUAAAGCAGAGGCAUACCCUCGUACCUUUUGCAUCAUGAUUUAACUAGUCCAACCAAGCAUAAAGAACUUUAGUUUGACAUCCCGAAACUAAGUGAGCUACUUCGGGGCAGCUUAAUGAGCCAACCCGUCUCUGUUGCAAAAGAGUGGGAAGACCCCCAAGUAGCGGUGAUAGACCUAACGAACUUAGUGAUAGCUGGUUACUUAAGAAAAGGAUUUAAGUCCUACCAAAAGCAUUGCAAACAUUUUUAAAUAAUCCUUAUGCUUUUGAGUUACUCAAAUGAGGUACAGCCCGUUUGAAAUAAGGAUACAACCUACACCAAUGGGUAAUUUCUAUUAAACGUUUAAACAAGUGGGCCUAAAAGCAGCCACCUUUAAGAUAGCGUCAAAGCUCUCCUACACAAAGCACUAAUACCACUAGCUAUUAGCAACCCUUUAUAUAAGUAUUAAGUUAUUCUAUAACAUUAUAGAAGCAUUUAUGUUAAAACUAGUAAUCAGAAGACUGACCUUCUCUUUGAUGUAAGUAUAAACCAGAAAGGACAAACCACUGUUAAUUAACACCAAUGAAUACGAAACAGCAACCCUGCCAGAAAACCCUGUUUUUAUUAAUGUUAACCUAACACUAGUACAUCACAAGAAAGAUUAAAAGAAAAAGAAGGAACUCGGCAAAUACUAACCCCGCCUGUUUACCAAAAACAUCGCCUCUUGGCAUUUAUAAGAGGUCCAGCCUGCCCAGUGACUAAGUUCAACGGCCGCGGUAUCCUAACCGUGCGAAGGUAGCGUAAUCACUUGUUCUUUAAAUGAGGACUAGUAUGAAUGGCACCACGAGGGUUACACUGUCUCCUUUUUCUAAUCAAUGAAACUGAUCUCCCCGUGAAGAAGCGGGGAUAAAUAUAUAAGACGAGAAGACCCUAUGGAGCUUUAAACAAUCAUAGCACUGGCCUUAAUUUUCUACUCUUCAGAGAUAUAACCACUAUACUGACCAACAUGACUAUUAGUUUUAGGUUGGGGUGACCGCGGAGCAAAAAUUAACCUCCACGUUGAAAGGAGCUACUCCUGAGCUAAAAGCUACGACUUCAAGCACCAAUAAACUGACAUCAAUUGACCCAACAUGUUGAGCAACGAACCAAGUUACCCUAGGGAUAACAGCGCAAUCCAUUUUAAGAGCCCCUAUCGACAAAUGGGUUUACGACCUCGAUGUUGGAUCAGGGUACCCCAGUGGUGCAGCCGCUACUAAAGGUUCGUUUGUUCAACGAUUAAAACCCU